rnacentral:snoRNA from 1 species
GUUUAUGAUGACUUUCCACAUUUUCACGACGGUCAACUGUUUGUCUUCUUACAUGUUUAGUUCGAAGAUGCUGAUGAUAUUUAGCCUGUGACAGGGCGUGGUUCUGAAC